CCCAGACUCCUACGGGAGGCAGCAGUAGGGAAUCUUUCACAAUGGGCGAAAGCCUGAUGGAGCAACGCCGCGUGCAGGAUGAAGGCCUUCGGGUUGUAAACUGCUUUUAUAAGCGAGAAAUAUGAUGGUAACUUAUGGAUAAGGAUCGGCUAACUCCGUGCCAGCAGCCGCGGUAAUACGGAGGAUGCGAGCGUUAUCCGGAUUUAUUGGGUUUAAAGGGUGCGCAGGCGGAAUGUCAAGUCAGCGGUAAAAUUUCGGGGCUCAACCCCGUCGUGCCGUUGAAACUGGCGGGCUGGAGUUGGAGAGAAGUACGCGGAAUGCGCGGUGUAGCGGUGAAAUGCUUAGAUAUCGCGCAGAACCCCGAUUGCGAAGGCAGCGUACCGGCUCCACACUGACGCUGAGGCACGAAAGCGUGGGUAUCGAACAGGAUUAGAUACCCCAGUA
rnacentral:rRNA from 1 species